GGGCGUUUGGCAGAACGGUAAUGCACCUGACUCUUAAUCAGGCUGACGUAGGUUCAACUCCUACAGCGCCCACCA
rnacentral:tRNA from 3 species